GGGUUGUGAGGUUAAGCGACUAAGCGUACACGGUGGAUGCCCUGGCAGUCAGAGGCGAUGAAGGACGUGCUAAUCUGCGAAAAGCGUCGGUAAGGUGAUAUGAACCGUUAUAACCGGCGAUGUCCGAAUGGGGAAACCCAGUGUGAUUCGUCACACUAUCGUUAACUGAAUACAUAGGUUAACGAGGCGAACCGGGGGAACUGAAACAUCUAAGUACCCCGAGGAAAAGAAAUCAACCGAGAUUCCCCCAGUAGCGGCGA
rnacentral:rRNA from 1 species